rnacentral:rRNA from 1 species
CACGUAGGCGGCGAUUUAAGUCAGAGGUGAAAGCCCGGGGCUCAACCCCGGAACUGCCUUUGAGACUGGAUUGCUUGAAUCCUGGAGAGGUGAGUGGAAUUCCGAGUGUAGAGGUGAAAUUCGUAGAUAUUCGGAAGAACACCAGUGGCGAAGGCGGCUCACUGGACAGGUAUUGACGCUGAGGUGCGAAAGCGUGGGGAGCAAACA